GUUGUGUUUUUGUGUUUGUUCAGUAUAAUGCUCUUGAUACUUUAUGUGGGGUUUUUAUACUUCAUCUGUUAAGAAAGGCGAGGGGUUGCCGCAUACAUGUAUUUUCUAGUUAUCAAAUAUUUCAUGACAUGAACGGUUUGUGAAAUUGAAAGCCGUUUCCAAAUUGUCUACUUUUUGUGAUACACCCUGUAUGUGUAACAAAUUAAAUUUAUUAAAAAUGGACGCAUGAUUGCCACCCCUGUUUCGCAUAC